rnacentral:rRNA from 1 species
GAUGAACGCUGGCGGCGUGCCUAAUACAUGCAAGUCGAGCGAAGCGGGGACGGGUGAGUCACACGUGGAUAACCUCCUAUAAGACUGGGAUAACUUCGGGACACCGUAUCUAACCCGGCUACUUAUCAAUGGCUCCGCGCUGCAUUAGCUAGUUGGUCAGGUAACGGCUUACAAAGGCAACUAGGCAUAGCCGACCUGCGAGGGUGAUCGGCCACACUGGAACUGAGACACGGUCCAGACUCCUACGGGAGGAAGCAGUAGGGAAUCUUCCGCAAGGGGCGAAAGCCGGACGGAGAAACGCCGCGUGAGUGAUGAAGGUCUUCGGAUCGUAAAACGCUGUUAGUAGGGAAGCGGUACAUAAUCAGAAAGCCAAGGCUAACUACGUGCCAGCAGCCGCGGUAAGAC